rnacentral:misc_RNA from 1 species
GUAGGUGAACCUGCGGAAGGAUCAUCAACAAAUCAUAUAUUGUGUGUGUGUGUGUUGUUGUGUGUGUGUAAUAGAGGGAAUUUAUUUUUAUAUAUAUAUAAAAAAGGUUCUCUUUUGCAACACAUCAACUUCACGCACACACGCAUAUAAACCAAUGUGAAUUGUGUGUGUGUGUGUAUGUGUGUGUAUAUAUAUAUAUGUAUACACACAUACACAUGUACAUAUAAAAUAUUAUUUUACUAUUGCUUGUAUGUGUAUAGUAGUUUUCUUCUAUAUAUAUAAAAACAAAAGUAUUAUAUUAUAUAUAAACUAAAGUCUAUUAGAGUCAGUAUAACAAAGAAAAUUAAUUUUAUACAACUUUUAACAAUGGAUCUCUUGGCUCUU